AUCUGUCUGUAUUCUGUAUUUUCUAUAGUCUGGAAUUAUUUAAGGAAUUUAUCUACUGACUUCAACCUUGUACCUGAGGCAUAAACUAUUUGUAUCAAGUGGGCUUGAAAUGAUGAGAACAGCAGAUGAUGGGAAAGAAAGGUCUGUACUCAGUGUUCCCACAGAAGAAAAGUCAUCAGUGUCUGGUCUUUGAUGUUCUCUAAGCAGAUGGGCAAAUCUCCAAGGUUCUGAAGUUUGUUGGGGAGGAAAAAUAAUGCUGUUUCCUUCUCUCGGAAAAAGUCAGCAAGGAGCGUGAGGGUUCAAUGUGGUAACGUAGCUGCAUGUUCCUCUCUGAAGCUCUCAGCUUCUCCCCAAAAACGUUGGACACACCAUAUCUCUCAUCUUUGAAAACCCCAUUCUCAAUGUGGGCCUUUUAAUGAUGGGUUGUUAAAUAACAAUUUAUGCCAGAAAUUUCUUUCUUUAGUGAAGAAAGAGAAGAAAGAUAAACUCCUUGGGAGCAGAGUUGUGCUUUGAAAAUGUCUCACACUAAGACAGUUUUUUUUUUCCUUUUUUUUUUGAGACAGGGUCUCACUCUGUCAUCCAGGCUGGAGUGCAGUGGCAUGAUCUUGGCUCACUGUAGCCUCAACUUCCUGGGCUCAAACAAUCCUCCUGCCUCAGCCUCCUGAGUAGCUGGGACUACAGGUGCAGGCCACUGGACCUAGCUAAUUUUUUAAAAAUUAAUUUUUGGUAGAGACAGGGUCUCACUAUGUUGCCCAAGCUGGUCUUGAAUUGCUGGCCUUGGUUGGUCCAAAAGUAGUGCGUUAUCUCAAUUGAUUGUUCAAGGUCAGUUACAGAUCAAAGUCCUCGUUCUUCCCUUCCCUCCUUCUCACUACUGCACUUGACUAGUCUUAAAAAUAUAUUAAAUAUAUAUAUAUUUUAAAAAAGACCUGACUUCAAGUAAUCCUUCUGCCUGGGCCUUCUAAGGUGCCAGGAUUACAAGCAUGAGCCACCAGGCCUGGCCUAAGACAACCUAAAAUGUAAGGGUGUGUUUAAAUAGGAAAGUGAAAAGUGGGGGAUUAAGUUCCUAGAUGAGUCCAUGAAUAUAUUAUUGAAGCAGGGGGUAGAGUUAGUUUUUAAAGAGGUAGGCCAAAUCAUGUCACUUCUUCACUCCUAAUGGCAUCUGAGAGCACUUAGAAUAAAACAGAAACCCAUCUCAACAUUUCAGAUUCUUCCUGUCAGACUCCACAUUGCUCCAGCCACAUCCUCAUUCUGUCUACCUUUUUUUUUUUUUUUUUUGAGACGGAGUCUCGUUCUGUCACCCAGGCUGGAGUGCAGUGGCACGAUCUUGGCUCACUGCAACCUUCGCCUCCCGGGUUCAAGCGAUUCUCCUGCCUCAGCUUCCUGAGUAGCUGUGACUACAGGCACCCUCCACCAUGCCCGGCUAAUUUUUUGUAUUUUUAGUAGAGACGGGGUUUCACUGUGUUAG
rnacentral:lncRNA from 1 species